AUAUGAUUUAUUUUGUAACGCAUAAAGGUUACUAUAUGCACGUGUUGAUUAUCCAAAAUGGCCGCCUGUGAAUGUUCGUAGUAUAUAGUAACAUUUUAUUAAUGUGAAAUCUAUUAUUUAUCCGUUAAUUAUUUAUGACUUUAUUUUAAUAGUUGACGUAUAAUUGCAGUGGGAAUAAUAUUAUUUUGCAUUUAUUUAAUGUGCGUAAUUAUUGCAUGUAUGCCGAUGCGCACGUGUAAGAGCUAUCAUAACAGUCCAAGAUGGCCGCUCGUGAGUGUCUCUAGUAAAAGUGUAGUGACGCGUCCUUAAUUUGUUUAAUACUGAAACAAUUAUUCGUCCGUCGCUUAUUUUCCUUUAUUUUAGCGCAGUUAGAAUUUUUAAAUGACAAUAGUAUUGUUUGUGUAAUCAUUAUAAUGUGUAUAUAUACUAUGUGUUACUUUAAUAUAAUAACAUGUGGAUUGUGUUAUUGUUAAUUUUUAUAAUUUAUCAAUAGCACUAUUUUAUUGUUGUGUUUCGAGUGGUUUAUUUUUAUAGAGUGUUCGCUUAAUUAAUUUAAUACUAAUAUGUGCAUAGUGUGUUAUUUUAAUAUAAUAGCAUGUGGCUCGUGUUAUUGUUAAAUUUUAUAAUUUAUCAAUAGCACUGUUUUAUUGUUGUGUUACGAGUGGUUUAUUUUUGUAGAGUGUUCGCUUAAUUAAUUUGAUAGUAAUAUGUGCAUAGUUUGUUAUUACCAGUUCUACUGCGUAAAAUAACCUUAUUUCUCUACGCUAGACUUAAUACAAUUAUGCUAUAUUAACUUAGUACAAUAUAAUAAUUUUUUAUCUUAAUCGCGUUUGUCGUUGAUACUCAGUUAAUCAGUUUUGAUUAAUUCAUAACCUAUUCCUAUAUUAUUGGCUAUUUUCUGUUUCUUUGUUAUGAAGUUGUCGUUACCUUGUUCUACAAUUCUAAUCCUUCAUCGCUGUGUCCUUUACUUGGAACGGUUACAUGGUAUGCGUUUGGUAUCUUCUGAUUCUUCGUUACAUGUCUAACACUUGUCAAGACUACUUUUACUUAUCCUAGAAUUGUAAGUAUAUAUAUAAAUAUAUAUAAAACACUGUAUUUUGUAAAUAUCUGUAUAGUAAAAUAGUCCGUCCACUAUCUUGUUUGCUAAGACCGCUUCGCUAACAUCGAAUUGUUUUGUUAUAAUGUCAGAAUAUUUCCUUGGUUUUCCAGUUUCUUGUUGCUGCCUUGACUGUUUCAGUAGUAUCUGGUUCAGUAUUCCGUAAGUAUUCACUUAAGUUUGGUAGUAGGCUUCUUGUAACUGCGUCGGUUUUAAUGUAUAUCUUCCGAUGUUAUGAUUGGUUACGUCGGUAUUUAUUACUUUCGAUAUCUUCAUACCGUCGUAUAUUAUGUUUUGCAAAGUUGGAUCCGUAGCCAAUUCUCGUGGAGUUCCUGCAUGCACACUUUCUUCUACGAUGAUUGGUUGCAUACAAAUCUCGUUAACUUAUAAAUAAUAUCAACUUCGAUUCUUCGUACACGUUUACUCCAAUUUGGUAGUUGGUUUCUCAUAACUGUGUUGACCCUUGUAUAAAUUUCUUCAAUGUGAAUAGUAAAUUAUCGUUGUCACUGACUUAACCUAUCCUAGUUAUUUCUUAACUCUUCCUGCGCUUAUUAAUUAAUUUUAUUUCUUCUUAUUAAAGACCGCUAUGUCAACGCUGAGUUAUUUCAUUAUAAUGUCACUAACUUUCUUGAUUUUUUCGGUUUUAUUUUCCAUUAGCGAACUGUAAGUUUGUUGUCGAGCAUCAAUUAUUGAUUGUUGUGCUUCGUUUAGUUUAAUUGAAAUAUAAUUGUAAAUUUUUAAUAGUAUUAUUUUCUUCCAUAUAUAUUAAGGCAAUUGAGGUUAGUUUAUUUAUUCGUUUCUGCUGACAGUCGUAUACUAUGUUCUACGGAGUGGGUCCACAACUUGUUUCUGCGAAAUUCCUGCAUGUACUUUUUACUUCUACGAUGAUUAAUUGUGCACUACGUGCUUUUAACUUUCACUGCUUUUAAUUAUUUUAUUGAAUUAACAUGUUGCGUAUUUAAAUGAUGGUUAGAACACACACAUAAUAAUUUUCCUUUUUCUUUUACGUUUCUACUAUCUGCAUGAUUCGAUAAGCACUGUCACACUUCCUUAGGCACAAUAUUGUUAUAGACAUUUAGUAAUAUUAUGUUUUGUAUUGAAACAAUUGAAGUUAAUUCUUCCAUUUGUUUCAGUUAGCUGUCAUACCUUGUGUUCUACGGAUAUGGACAAAUAACCUGUCUUCGCAUAUACACUUCCUUCUACGAUGAGUAAUUGUUCACGAGGUUACCACUAUCUGCAGUAUUCGACAAGCAGUGUUGUUCCAUAUACUACCGUACUACGUUGUCUCUUGAAAUCGUUCUUGUGGUCUGUUUCGAUUCUGUUAGUUUUAACUUGUUCGAGUGUAUUGUUCGUGGAAUCCCUUUUACUUUAAUCUUGACGUUUCGUGUGUGGAUUCUGACAAUAGUACCUGGUUUAUUGAAGUGUGUUAAUAUGCCUAGGUGUUUUAUAUAUUUUAUAUCUAGUUGUAUAUAAGAUAUAUUUUGUUUAUUGUGGUUUUGUAUGUCCAUAUUUGCUGUAUAUUAAAUUGCUUGAUAUUU